rnacentral:rRNA from 1 species
AUGGUGAUUGCUGUCAAGGGAAAGAAAGAUAUCACUACUUUAAAGGCACAUUUAAGUAGUGAGUUUGAGAUGAAGGAUCUUGGUGCUGCUAAGAAAAUUCUAGGUAUGGAGAUUACGAGGGUUAGAAAUUCUGGUUUGUUAUUUCUUAGUCAGCAGAGUUACAUUAAGAAAGUUCUUCAUCGUUUUAAUAUGCAUGAUGCUAAGUCAAUAGGCACUCUCAUUGCUCCUCAUUUCAAAUUAUCAUCUUCUCAUUGUCAUAGUAAUGAUGAAGAGUUUGAGUAUAUGUCAAGAAUUCCAUAUUCCAGUGCCGUUGGUUCUUUAAUGUAUGUCAUGGUCUGUUCUAGGCCUGAUUUGUCAUUUGCAAUGAGUUUGGUCAGUCGAUACAUGGCUAACCUUGGUAAAGAACAUUGGAAGGUUGUUUAG